AGAGUUUGAUCCUGGCUCAGGACGAACGCUGGCGGCGUGCUUAACACAUGCAAGUCGAACGGAAAGGCCCUUCGGGGUACUCGAGUGGCGAACGGGUGAGUAACACGUGGGUGAUCUGCCCUGCACUUUGGGAUAAGCCUGGGAAACUGGGUCUAAUACCGAAUAUGACCAUGCGCCUCCUGGUGUGUGGUGGAAAGCUUUUGCGGUGUGGGAUGGGCCCGCGGCCUAUCAGCUUGUUGGUGGGGUAAUGGCCUACCAAGGCGACGACGGGUAGCCGGCCUGAGAGGGUGACCGGCCACACUGGGACUGAGAUACGGCCCAGACUCCUACGGGAGGCAGCAGUGGGGAAUAUUGCACAAUGGGCGCAAGCCUGAUGCAGCGACGCCGCGUGAGGGAUGACGGCCUUCGGGUUGUAAACUUCUUUCAGCACAGACGAAGCGCAAGUGACGGUAUGUGCAGAAGAAGGACCGGCCAACUACGUGCCAGCAGCCGCGGUAAUACGUAGGGUCCGAGCGUUGUCCGGAAUUACUGGGCGUAAAGAGCUCGUAGGUGGUUUGUCGCGUUGUUCGUGAAAACUCACAGCUUAACUGUGGGCGUGCGGGCGAUACGGGCAGACUUGAGUACUGCAGGGGAGACUGGAAUUCCUGGUGUAGCGGUGGAAUGCGCAGAUAUCAGGAGGAACACCGGUGGCGAAGGCGGGUCUCUGGGCAGUAACUGACGCUGAGGAGCGAAAGCGUGGGGAGCGAACAGGAUUAGAUACCCUGGUAGUCC
rnacentral:rRNA from 1 species